rnacentral:lncRNA from 1 species
CAUCACAGCAGCAAUCACACUGUCCUGUUUCCCCAGACAGCCUGUGACCAACUCAAGGGCAGGGUCUGUGUGUACCCUACAGCGCCUAGCUCAGGGAGGAAUGCAGAUUGUGUGUGAAUGAACGAACGAACGAACCAACACAAAUAGCUGACAUCAAGCAAUUAUGGGGUGCCAGGCACCGUGCUAAGUGCUUUACAGGUAUCAUGUUAUUUUCUGCUCACCACAGCCUUAUGGGGAAGGCACUGUUAUUAGCACUACCCUUUUACAGAUGAGGAAACAGGCUAAGAGGCAUUAAACAACAACCAAGCAUCCAGGCAGUCAAGACUCUAAUCUGACUUACAUUCUCAUUUGAUGGACCAUCAUCCUCAGUGGACCUCCUCUGUAAGGGAUCCUGCCUCUGACAAGCUCUCUGAGAUUUGAGUAGGGAGAAAGCUCAGAAUCACUUGGCCCUCUGGGAGGAGGAAGAUGGUCAUCCUGCAACCCUCUGCACCAUUUAGGUGUCCUGGUCCUGUCCAUCUGCUCAUGGAACAGCUUGAUCUAGAAGAGAAAUAAUGUGGCGAAGAGGGUUUUUGGGCCAAAGACAAGAAAAUAUCACAGGGCCAGGGUUGUUACUGUCUUUAGCCAGGAUCUGGCCAUUGGGACAUCGGCUCCCCUCAAAGGCGGGGGGGUUGGAAGCUUGGGGAGUCUCUUGGCUAAAUCCUACCCAUCUCCACUAUGCUCCAUCCCUAAGAUAGCCAACACUUGACCAGUAGAUGCUAACGUACCUCCACUGACAAGAAGCUCCCUACCACUCCAGCCCAGAUCUCAGCAAGUUUCUCUUUCUCUAGCUGAAAUGUACCUCCUGGGGAACAUCAAAAGGAGUCCAUUCUCCAGGAGAGACCAGCAGGCCCAGAUGGAGGGCCUCCCUGACUUUGUCAGGAGCAAGAGACAUACUAUGGAGGAGAAGGUGAUCAAGGCCUGCAUCAUGCCCACAGAAAUACAAUAAAGCCCUCACCCUUUCCUGUG